AGUGAACGCUGGCGGUAGGCCUAACACAUGCCAGUCGAACGGCAGCACAGUAAGAGCUUGCUCUUACGGGUGGCGAGUGGCGGACGGGUGAGGAAUAAAUCGGAAUCUACUUUUUCGUGGGGGAUAACGUAGGGAAACUUACGCUAAUACCGCAUACGACCUACGGGUGAAAGCAGGGGAUCUUCGGACCUUGCGCGAUUGAAUGAGCCGAUGUCGGAUUAGCUAGUUGGCGGGGUAAAGGCCCACCAAGGCGACGAUCCGUAGCUGGUCUGAGAGGAUGAUCAGCCACACUGGAACUUGAACACGGUCCAGACUCCUACGAGAGGCAGCAGUGGGGAAUAGUGGACAAUGGGCGCAAGCCUGAUCCAGCCAUACCGCGUGGGUGAAGAAGGCCUUCGGGUUGUAAAGCCCUUUUGUUGGGAAAGAAAAGCAGCAGGUUAAUACCCCGCUGUUCUGACGGUACCCAAAGAAUAAGCACCGGCUAACUUCGUG
rnacentral:rRNA from 1 species